AGAUGAGGUCAUCAUUCCUCACCGAUGAACGGAGCAGACUCUAUUUAAAGUGCUUUUCCAUCACCUGGCUCCCAAACAUGCCGUAGUACUCCAGGAUUCCAGACAUGAGCUCCCAGAGUUCACGUUUACUCCAAACUUCCUCAGAGACGACCUCACGGCCGGCUCGGGUUUUAGUGACUCACUCUUCUGCGAUUCCUCAAUCAGGACGAAGGAAUUCCUGAAAACAGCAGCGCCUGGAUCGGCUCUGUUUACGGGAGUUACGGCAGCUGCUGAGUUUGGCGUCCUCCUGCAGACAGACGAGGACGGGAAGCUCCAAACCCAAACCAGCUUGAAGCUGCAGGUUCUAAAGCCCGGCUGUGAGUCACACGUGGUUCUGGAAGGAAUGUUGACGGGAGACCCUGAAGCAGCUCAGAUGAAUCAUCUCCAUCUGUGUUAGUCAUCAGCGGCGUGAACACGGAGAGGAAACGCACGCCGGCGAGACGGUGACAGAGAGUGAGGUCAUGCCGAGUCAGCAAAAGUUUGGCGAUGUCGGUGGGUUCUUCACACCUGCUGGUUUCUCUUCGGCCCACGUCGACGUCACCGAGGUCGGAGCGUUCUGCGGCAGAGAUGCAGGCUUUUGGCGGCAGUGGCGUUGGGCCUCGGCGUGGAGAUGAGAUCACAGACUGUCGGUAAAUGAAGCCAAAUGCUGCUUCUCAUUCCUGAGCACAGAUCUGACUGCAGUUUGGACCGGCGCCGCUGCUGCUAACUACUCAAACUACUGAGAUUCUGGUUCCAUGCUGCAUUCCUCCUCGAGCCCGUCAACACUUCUACUGCUGAGUCACAUGACUGUUCUGGUUCUGGUCCGUCAUUAUCCACAGAGUUCCUGUGAAUUCUAGUGUUUCCGCUUCACUCCAGCCGGACAUUUCGAUUCCGACUCUGACGGCAGACUCUGGUAUGAUGAAUAACAACGAUAGGAACGGCGCUCUCCGGUUUUGGACGUUUUCACAGAAGGGCAGACGUGUCUCGGACGUUCUACGGCGGCAGUACAGAAGCUCACAGUGGGGCUGCUAAUCUCUAUUUGUCUGGUGAGCUCCAUCAUACUACGUUCACACACCCCCACAACGCCGUAACCACAUAGGGGCGGAGCUUCCAGCUAACGUUUUUAGCAAGGUCUCUACGCGGAGCGGUGUCUGUGUUUAUCUUACUUAGAAUGUAUGGAAGACAUGGAUGAUGUUGAGAGAUCAGGUUUAUUUAUUGUGUAGAGUUCUACAAAGUUAUCAUAAUCACGUCUACAUGUUCAUGAGAUCAUUCUGAGAUACCAGGAGCUGGUUCGC